rnacentral:rRNA from 1 species
AUUGAACGCUGGCGGCAGGCCUAACACAUGCAAGUCGAGCGGAUGAGAGGAGCUUGCUCCUUGAUUUAGCGGCGGACGGGUGAGUAAUGCCUAGGAAUCUGCCUAGUGGUGGGGGAUAACGUUCCGAAAGGAACGCUAAUACCGCAUACGUCCUACGGGAGAAAGCGGGGGAUCUUCGGACCUCGCGCCAUUAGAUGAGCCUAGGUCGGAUUAGCUAGUUGGUGAGGUAAAGGCUCACCAAGGCGACGAUCCGUAACUGGUCUGAGAGGAUGAUCAGUCACACUGGAACUGAGACACGGUCCAGACUCCUACGGGAGGCAGCAGUGGGGAAUAUUGGACAAUGGGCGAAAGCCUGAUCCAGCUAUGCCGCGUGUGUGAAGAAGGUCUUCGGAUUGUAAAGCACUUUAAGUUGGGAGGAAGGGUAUUCACCUAAUACGUGAGUAUUUUGACGUUACCGACAGAAUAAGCACCGGCUAACUUCGUGCCAGCAGCCGCGGUAAGAC